AUUGAACGCUGGCGGCAGGCCUAACACAUGCAAGUCGAACGAGUGGCGGACGGGCGCGUAAUGUAUGGGAAACUGCCAGAUGGAGGGGUAUAACUAGUGGAAACGGUAGCUAAAACCGCAUACCAUCGGAUGUGCCCUGAUGGGGUUAGCUAGUAGGUGGGGGAAAGGCACCCCUAGGCGACGAUCCCUAGCUGGUCUGAGAGGAUGACCAGCCACACUGGAACUGAGACACGGUCCAGACUCCUACGGUAGGCAGCAGUGGGGAAUAUUGCACAAUGGGCGCAAGCCUGAUGCAGCCAUGCCGCGUGUAUGAAGAAGGCUUUCGGGUUGUAAAGUACUUUCAGCGGGGAGGCGUUACCCGCAGAAGAAGCACCGGCUAACUCCGUGCCAGCCGCCGCGGUAAUAC
rnacentral:rRNA from 1 species